rnacentral:rRNA from 1 species
AGAUUGAACGCUGGCGGCAUGCCUUACACAUGCAAGUCGAACGGUAGAGUAGCAAUACUUGAGAGUGGCGAACGGGUGAGUAAUAUAUCGGAACGUGCCCAGUCGUGGGGGGAUAACGUAGAGAAAUUUACGCUAAUACCGCAUACGAUCUAAGGAUGAAAGCGGGGGACUCGCAAGAGCCUCGCGCGAUUGGAGCGGCUGAUAUCAGAUUAGGUUGUUGGUGAGGUAAAAGCUCACCAAGCCGACGAUCUGUAGCUGGUUUGAGAGAACGACCAGCCACACUGGGACUGAGACACGGCCCAGACUCCGUACGGGAGGCAGCAGUGGGGAAUUUUGGACAAGUGGGCGAAAGCCUGACUCCAGCAAUGCCGCGUGCAAGGAAGAAGGCCUUCGGGUUGUAAAUAGGUCUUUUAGUACGGAACGAAACGUCGUAGUCUUUAAGAC